CUGGGCAAGAGGACGGGGCCGAGCAGGGGGCCGUGGUGCCGGCAUCACCCUGCGACCCCUUUCAGGCUGGCAAGCCGUGGAGAAAGGAGAGCUGCAGAGCAGACAGCCUCAGGCAGGAAGCUCUUGGAAGCAAGUGUAAUUAAGCGCUGAAAUAGGGCCUGUUGCAGGGAGGUGGCCCUGAAGGCACCCAGCCAACGGGAGGCAUCUUGCUAAAAGGUAUGUUCAUGUUCAGCCAGAUGGUGAGAGCUUUCAUGCAGGAAGCUCCUAGUGAAAUUAUCUCCCCAGUUUAUGUCGGGAGCCCGUCUGGAGCAACCAUAAGAGCCCUAAUGCCUCUCCAAAUACAAAUAGAUGGCUGCUAGUUUUCCCUGCUUUACUGCUAUGCUUAUUUUUAGCCUUUUAGUUGUGAGAACACGACUAAACCGACACAACAACAAAGUCACACUGGGCCUUUCAGUUUGGUUUGCUCUCUAAAGCCCUCGUCCACACUGCAGGGAAGACUGGAGGUGCCCGAUUCCAAAAGCACGUUGUGGUAGCACAGAAAUCUGUUACCUGGUUUGUUCUGUUCCUUUGCUCCCUUGCGGCUGCCUCUGGUGCCUCUCCCUGUACACGG